GAGGGUGGCUGUGUUGAGAGGCUGACCUUUUAGCAAUAUCAUUCUCUUGGCUCAACAUCUUCUUAGGUUGUAUGUAUUGGCUUGUCACCUAGAUGGACCAGUAAAUGGAACUCUGUGUGAACAGCUCACUUGAGAGUGCACACUUUUUGCAACAUUACUUGAACUUGAGAUCUUGAGGAAGAGCCAGCAUUUGAUGCAGGAGUCCAACAUCAGAAAAAACAAGGCUAAAAUACUCUUGGCACCAAAUCCUGAGCUAAAAAGAGAGUUUUUCCAAAGAACUGGAGCACCCCUAGCAGGACAAUAAAGGAACUUGAAGAGUAAGAGUUGAAAAUUGUCAGAAAGGCAACUAUGUACUCCAAGGAAGAGAAAGCAAGAAUUUAAGCAAAUAGCAAGGAGAAAAAAGCUCCCAGCUGGCUGGAUAGUGAGGAGGCAGACACUGAUGGAUGCUCUGAAGCCAGCUGCUGAGAAGUAAAGGACAGGAUUAAAACCGUAUGACGUGGCAAGAAAGACCACUGGUCAAAUGUUUGUCUGUUAUACCUCUAUCAAACAUACUGUUAUAUCUCUCAUAUUCUCAUAUCCAGAGCCUGAAUUUUUGGUAUUUUGUUCAUCAUGGAUUUUUUCCAUUGAUUUAGAUUUCUG
rnacentral:lncRNA from 10 species